rnacentral:rRNA from 1 species
UACGAAGGGGGCUAGCGUUGUUCGGAUUUACUGGGCGUAAAGCGCACGUAGGCGGAUCUUUAAGUCAGAGGUGAAAUCCCAAGGCUCAACCUUGGAACUGCCUUUGAUACUGGGGAUCUUGAGUCCGGGAGAGGUGAGUGGAACUGCGAGUGUAGAGGUGAAAUUCGUAGAUAUUCGCAAGAACACCAGUGGCGAAGGCGGCUCACUGGCCCGGAACUGACGCUGAGGUGCGAAAGCGUGGGGAGCAAACAGGG